rnacentral:rRNA from 1 species
GAUGAACGCUGGCGGCGUGCCUAAUACAUGCAAGUCGAGCGAACAGACGAGGAGCUUGCCCCUCUUACGUUAGCGGCGGACGGGGGAGUAACACGUGGAGAACCUACCUAGAAGACUGGGAUAACUUCGGGAAACCGGAGGUAAUACCGGAUAAUAUAUUUAACCGCAUGGUUCAAUAGUUAAAGACGGUUUUGCUGUCACUUAUAGAUGGAUCCGCGCCGCAUUAGCUAGUUGGUAAGGUAACGGCUUACCAAGGCAACGAUGCGUAGCCGACCUGAGAGGGUGAUCGGCCACACUGGAACUGAGACACGGUCCAGACUCCUACGGGAGGCAGCAGUAGGGAAUCUUCCGCAAUGGGCGCAAGCCUGACGGAGCAACGCCGCGUGAGUGAUGAAGGUCUUCGGAUCGUAAAACUCUGUUAUUAGGGAAGAACACAUGUGUAAGUAAAUAUGCACGUCUUGACGGUACCUACUCAGAAAGCCACGGCUAACUACGUG